CUGCAUUUGCUUUCUACCAGAUAGUGAAAUCAAACAACAGAAGAUGUGGUUGGGAAUCCACCGGUGAUGACAUAAAACUCACUUUUUGAGAUUUCCUAUUUUUCUUUCAGCAGCCUUGGCACUCAGGAUUCUACUUGCAGUGUGGCCACAGACAACUCUCCAAAUUACUCAAGUCCCCACUGUAGCUACAUUUCUAUUAAAAUGUCCGUG
rnacentral:lncRNA from 1 species